rnacentral:rRNA from 1 species
GGAAAGUAAAAAAGUCGUAACAAGGUUUCCGUAGGUGAACCUGCGGAAGGAUCAUUACCGAGUGAGGGCCCUCUGGGUCCAACCUCCCACCCGUGUUUAUUUUACCUUGUUGCUUCGGCGGGCCCGCCUUAACUGGCCGCCGGGGGGCUUACGCCCCCGGGCCCGCGCCCGCCGAAGACACCCUCGAACUCUGUCUGAAGAUUGUAGUCUGAGUGAAAAUAUAAAUUAUUUAAAACUUUCAACAACGGAUCUCUUGGUUCCGGCAUCGAUGAAGAACGCAGCGAAAUGCGAUACGUAAUGUGAAUUGCAAAUUCAGUGAAUCAUCGAGUCUUUGAACGCACAUUGCGCCCCCUGGUAUUCCGGGGGGCAUGCCUGUCCGAGCGUCAUUUCUGCCCUCAAGCACGGCUUGUGUGUUGGGCCCCGUCCUCCGAUCCCGGGGGACGGGCCCGAAAGGCAGCGGCGGCACCGCGUCCGGUCCUCGAGCGUAUGGGGCUUUGUCACCCGCUCUGUAGGCCCGGCCGGCGCUUGCCGAUCAACCCAAAUUUUUAUCCAGGUUGACCUCGGAUCAGGUAGGGAUACCCGCUGAACUUAAGCAUAUA